rnacentral:rRNA from 1 species
GAGAGACGCUGGCGGCGUGGAUUAGGCAUGCAAGUCGAACGGUAUCAUCCUUUCGGGGGUGAGAGAGUGGCGAACUGGUGAGUAACACGUAGGUUAUCUACCUCAAGACGGGGACAACCCAGGGAAACUUGGGCUAAUACCGGAUGUGAGCAACUUUUAGUUGUUUGAAAGGUGGCGUAAGCUGUCGCUUGGGGAUGAGCCUGCGUCCUAUUAGUUAGUUGGUGAGGUAACGGCUCACCUAGGCAAUGAUAGGUAGGCGGCCUUAACGGGUGGUCGCCCACACUGGGAUUGAGAUACGGCCCAGACUCCUACGGGAGGCAGCAGUCGAGAAUAGUCUACAAUGGUCGGAAGACUGAUAGUGCGACGCCGCGUGAACGAUGAAUCCCUUCGGGGUGUAAAGUUCUUUUAUAUGUGAGCAGUGCUUCUUAUAUUAACAGUAUGGGGAGAGAGAUAUUAGCAUAUGAAUAAGCAACGGCUAACUCCGUG